GCACACUGUAACCUCGGACCUUUUAUGACUGGUUUUCUUUCGCCACCUCGGUGCGAAAUCUAAAAAGUGUAUUGAGAAAAAAAAUUGUGGGGAAACCGACUUGUAUUGAUUAAGGAGACGCGGGCAUGCAUGUAUGUCUUUCCUUUAAUGUGAGAAGGGCUUAAAGUUAAAAUACUUUCUUAAAGGCAACUGCAACAGUUGAAAUCGAUUAAUGCGCCGCUUACUACAACAAAAAAAAAAUUCGCAGUUUAAAAAUCUUUAAGAAAUCAUAUUCACAUUACAGUCUGUGAUUGUGGAAACUUAUUUUUUCAAAGAUCCAUCAAAAAAGAUUAAACCGUUUUACAUGGCUGUUAUUUACCAAAUUUUCCUUACAUCAAGCCUUUCAAAAUAUCACUCUUUUUAUGUUUACAAAAUGUUAGUUUUGGUCAAUUUCUUCUCGUAUGAUUUUAUAUAGACGCCUUCAAGAUUCAGUGUAAACGAAAAAAAUAAUAGCAUGAUUUUUUUUAUCGUCAUGGUGAUGCCUGAACACAAAGACAGAGUGGCUUUUAUUUAUUAUUUUAUCAAGCAAAACUCCUUUAAUAAUAGCAAUCACUUCAAAAUUUCGCA